rnacentral:snRNA from 1 species
GUGCUGGCUUCUGCCUCACAUAGGCUAAAAUAGGAAAGAUCUGGAGAAGAUGAGUGUGGCCCCUGCACAUGACAGGAUGCAGAUUCCUCAAGUGUUCCAUAUUUAA